rnacentral:misc_RNA from 1 species
AAAGAAAGCCGGAUCGACUCUAGGUUGAGAAACAUGAUGAAAGCUUCCAUUUGUCUUUUUGCUGUUUUGGUUGUGGCCUUAUCCAAGAGUGAUCUAUUGACUGGCGAAACUAAAAUCAAUGCACCCGUUACCAGUAUCGACAAUGAUAGCUCUGUACCCACACACUGUGACGGAACUUUGAUCAAAGAGAUUCUUCUGAAGCAAGAUAUGAGCCAAGCGUUGUUACUCACGAAUUUUAACGUUCUACAGGUCAUGACAGACGUCCAGCGACUGAAUUGUUGUGUUGGAAACCAAGGUCGGGGAUCAGUUCCAGAUAGCCGUUUCUGAAUGGGAUGGUCAAGGGGAUAUCUAUAGCAACAACUCAAACGGCCGAACAUCUUUCUCUGGAUUUAGGGUUUCAUAAAUCUACACAAAAUCUUGCUAGACGAAAUCCUCGGGGCAAUAUACACAGAUGUGGACGUUCUUAUCAUAUUCAAUCUUUCACAAAAUGAUGUACAGAGAGAGAGAGAGAGAGAGAGAGAGAGAGAGAGAGAGAGAGAGAGAGUACUACAUGUAUUAUCUGAAUGUAAAUUGCCUAACUUUGAGUGAAAUAAUCUUACUUAUGAAAUAAACUGAUUUAGUAAUAUU